AUAUCUGCUGAAGACUUGUCUUCAAACAUCUUGUUUUUACCUUCUUUGUCCACAGAGAGCGGUGGCAUCUGCAUCUCAUCCAGGCCUUCACAACCAGAAGCAGAGAUUGUCCCAGGAAUGGCCAUGAGACCUUUUUGGGAAUAAAGCCAGUGCUCAUGGACAGUGAGCUCUGACUCUGUCGCCAUUUCUCCAAUCAGGUUCUUCCACACUGCGUACGAGGAGGAGUUUGGCUCCAUCAACUGUGGCUUUCCAUCGUGAUGGGAAGAGUGGGUGAGCCAAUCAACACUGAAGCAUGGCAGUGGUACUACAGUGAGGUCAGAGACAAGCGUUGUCCUGUGGUGGAUACCUGGUGAAAAACAGGUAAAUGGGAACACACUGUUGUUACUCUUCAGACAAUUCAAAAGUCACGUUACAUGUUUUUAUCUCACACACUUGAGUUUGUUCUGGUUCUGGAAAACAAAAAAAUAUAACUGAGAAUAAUUGAACACCAUUGCAUUGCAUUGACCCAGAUAUUCUGCUAAACUAACUAAGGAUUACAGUUUAGUCUAAUUUUCCUGCACCAAUUUCUCUAAUGAAGACUACGUGACUUUAUAUUCAUAAAAUCCAUUUGUUGGAUCUGCAAACAAGAGUAUGUUUUUAGUUCCUUUUUUGUACUUAUAGUAUAUUUUAGUAGUUAUAUUUAGUAUAUACUGUAUAGUUAUAUUUAGUACUUAUAGUAAUUUUUUUUAGCUUUUUUUGUUUAUUUUUUAACUUGGAUAUGUAGUUUAAUCAUUGUGUAACUUGAUUGCUGUGCUAUUGUAAUUAACAGAUUUUUUAGUUAGUUUAUUUGUAGCUUAGUUGUAAUGUGGUGAAAUCAUUGUGUAACUUGAGCUGUAUUUGAAACCUUCCAAUAAAAGAAAAUUGUUGGACCAUUUUGUGCAUUCUCAGCCAAUAAUGAAGAAUAUGAAUGAGUUGCUCAUUGGCUUUUAGGGCAUGCAUUGUUAAACUCAAAGUCAAGGGUUAUACUAGUUACAGUUUAUAU